rnacentral:lncRNA from 1 species
GUCUUGGCAUAGCAAUACCAGCCCAUAAAGCAAGAUGAAACAGAAUAAUAUAUUAAUAUUUUAUCAAUCUAUAAGCAAAAAAUAGGCCUUGUAAAUGGUAUAUACAUUCAAACAGUAAGGAUGAGGAGGCAGGAACGAUCAGUUUAUGAGAAGAGUAAGACUGUAGAGACCUAUAUCUUGGAGAAAUAACUGUGGGAUCUUUUUUUAUCUUUCAAUUCAGAACAUACAUGGAAAUUUUCUUACUACAUGGAGAUAAAGUCAUCCAGAGAACCAUGUAUGGCUGUUUUACUCUUGCCAAAUAACUACCCCAGAGCAAGCAUAUGUUGAAAGAAGAGAAUGUGCACAGGGAGGAAGAUGUGCCUCAUGUUCAGUUCAUUAAGGGCGGCAACCUAUCAAUCAGACACAGCCCUUGAGAAGACCUUCAGAGAAGAUAAAAACCAGUUCCUGAAAAAGUUCCAACACUGAUGGGUAGCACUUUCUGAACUGUAGCCCGAAGUCCACUGUUCUGUGGUCUGGAUCUCAUGAGCAGAAGAGUAUUUAAAGAUUUUGUUUGCUUUUUUGUUUGUUUGUUUAUUUCUUUGUUUUUGUUUGUUGUUGUUUGUUUGUUUGUUUUUAAUAAUACUUGCAGUUAAGAGGGCAGAUAAGAAAAUGAUGAUGCAUAGAAAUUGUUUUUACUUGACAACCCAUUCAUUUAAAAUUUGGAGAACUGCUAUUUUAAAACGUCCUGGUCUUUUUCCAAUCUAUUAAAUUAAAACAUUAUUAUUUUUAUUUUUAACCAUACAUAGGGACUCUAGUAAUACCACUGCUCUGGAGUUAGUCUUACAAAAAUAUCCAGUAAUAAGAACAGAAGCCUAUUAUGUUUAUUACAAUGAAUCAAUUUAAAUAGAGAGAACUCUUGCCC